rnacentral:rRNA from 1 species
AUUGCCCCCAGUAAACGGGCGAGUGAAGCGGCAACAGCUCAAAUUUGAAAUCUGGCGCUUGCGCCCGAGUUUGUAAUUUGCAGAGGAUGCUUCUGGCAAAGUGCCUUCCGAGUUCCCUGGAACGGGACGCCAUAGAGGGUGAGAGCCCCCGUACGGUCGGGUUGCUGCGCCGCUGUGAAGCGCCUUCGACGAGUCGAGUAGUUUGGGAAUGCUGCUCUAAAUGGGAGGUAAACUCCUUCUAAAGCUAAAUAUUGGCCAGAGACCGAUAGCGCACAAGUAGAGUGAUCGAAAGAUGAAAAGCACUUUGAAAAGAGAGUCAAACAGCACGUGAAAUUGUUGAAAGGGAAGCGCUUGUGACCAGACUUGGGCUUGGUAGUUCAGCCGUCCUUCUGGGCGGUGCACUCUGCCGGUUCAGGCCAGCAUCAGUUGUCGGUCGGGGAGAAAGAUGGCGGGAACGUGGCUCUUCGGAGUGUUAUAGCCCGCCAUUAUGCCCUUCUGGCGACUGAGGUUAGCGUUCUGCACGGAUGCUGGCGUAAUGGUUAUCAGCGACCCGUCUUGAAACACGGACCAAGGAGUCAUCCUAAUAUGCGAGUGUUUGGGUGUCAAACCCCUACGCGGAAUGAAAGUAAACGGAGGUGAGAGCUUCGGCGCAUCAUCGACCGAUCCUGAUGUUUUCGGAUGGAUUUGAGUAAGAGCAUAUUGGGCUGGACCCGAAAGAAGGUAAGCAGAACCCCUCCCUCCAGCAUCCUAUCCAGCAUGGCUUGCCGGGAAGUAGUGGUAUAAUCGUGCCGCUAGUUGUCGUGCCAUGCCUGCUGGAUUUCCCGUGCUACGAGUGACGUGUUAAACCGUGAGAAUAUGCUAACAGAAAAAUAGGUGAACUAUGCUUGGAUAGGGGCAAAGCCAGAGGAAAACUCUGGUGGAGGCUCGCAGCGGUUCUGACGUGCAAAUCGAUCGUCAAAUCUGAGCAUGGGGCGAAAGACUAAUCGAA